AUUGAACGCUGGCGGAAUGCUUUACACAUGCAAGUCGAACGGCAGCACGGACUUCGGUCUGGUGGCGAGUGGCGAACGGGUGAGUAAUGUAUCGGACCGUGCCCAGUCGUGGGGGAUAACGUAGUGAAAAUUACGCUAAUACCGCAUACGAUCUAUGGAUGAAAGCGGGGGAUCGCAAGACCUCGCGCGAUUGGAGCGGCCGAUAUCAGAUUAGGUAGUUGGUGGGGUAAUGGCCCACCAAGCCAACGAUCUGUAGCUGGUCUGAGAGGACGACCAGCCACACUGGAACUGAGACACGGUCCAGACUCCUACGGGAGGCAGCAGUGGGGAAUUUUGGACAAUGGGCGAAAGCCUGAUCCAGCCAUUCCGCGUGCAGGAUGAAGGCCCUCGGGUUGUAAACUGCUUUUGUACAGAACGAAAAGGUUUCUACUAAUACUAGGAGCUCAUGACGGUACUGUAAGAAUAAGCACCGGCUAACUACGUGCCAGCAGCCGCCGUAA
rnacentral:rRNA from 1 species